rnacentral:rRNA from 1 species
UACGAAGGGGGCUAGCGUUGUUCGGAAUUACUGGGCGUAAAGGGCUCGUAGGCGGCCAACUAAGUCAGACGUGAAAUCCCUCGGCUUAACCGGGGAACUGCAUCUGAUACUGGAUGGCUUGAGUUCGGGAGAGGGAUGCGGAAUUCCAGGUGUAGCGGUGAAAUGCGCAGAUAUCAGGAGGAACACCGGUGGCGAAGGCGGAUCUCUGGGCCAUUACUGACGCUGAGGAGCGAAAGCGUGGGGAGCGAACAGG